rnacentral:rRNA from 1 species
AUUGAACGCUGCGGCAGGCUUAACACAUGCAAGUCGAGCGAUCGGCGGACGGGUGGGUAAUGCUUAGGAAUCUGCCUAUUAGUGGGGGACAACAUCACGAAAGGGAUGCUAAUACCGCAUACUAAUAGAUGAGCCUAAGUCGGAUUAGCUAGUUGGUGGGGUAAAGGCCUACCAAGGCGACGAUCUGUAGCGGGUCUGAGAGGAUGAGCCGCCAGACUGGGAAGGAGACACGGCCCAUAGUGCUUCGGGGGGGAGCCAGGGGGAAACUGGGGGAAUGGGGGGAAACCUGGUCCCGCCAGGCGGAGGGUGUGAAGAAGGCCUUAUGGUUGGAAAGCACGUUAAUCGAGGAGGCGUUACCCGCAGAAUAAGCACCGGCUAACUCUGUGCCAGCAGCCGCGGUAAUAC